rnacentral:lncRNA from 7 species
GAGCAGCAGUUACACACAGAAAGAUCUGGUCCGGCAUGAAUUCUGGCUGUGUGGCUGUAGUGAUUCCAGGACUUACAUCCUAUAUAUCUGCCAGCACUACAGAGUUAGCAGGUGGCAGCAGUGUCUGCCCUGCGAUGGCCGUGUCUUAUUUUGUGAUGUUAAACAGGUGCAUGAUGUUAAACCUGAGCGAGAGCAGCAUUACAGGUGUUAUGAGUUCUCUGUUCCUGUCAACAUCUGUGCACAUGGAAUGGACACUGAGAACUGCAGAAUCAACGUUAAACCUUUCGUUCUGAGUUGUGGUUGAUUGCUGUCAAAUCUGAUGGUUAAUCUGCAGUGAACCCACCUGGCUGACAGAGCUGAGAAUGUGGCCAUACCGACACACCUGCAUGAAUCUGCUGUCCUCUGCGACCCCGAGGGCUACUGCUGCUCUCAGGUGAUCUGUACCUACUCGGGCCUCUUCUGUGUCACUGUCAACCCCUACAAGUGGCUGCCGGUGUACAACCCGGAGGUGGUGUUGGCCUACCGAGGCAAAAAGCGCCAGGAGGCCCCUCCACACAUCUUCUCCACCUCUGACAACGCCUAUCAGUUCAUGCUGACUGCUUCUGCCAAAUACUGCUCCUAUCUGCCAGGGGAUCACUUGCCUUGAAGCCACCUUCUGCAGUGCACUAUCUCAGUUCCUCGUUCUGUCAUCUUGCAGAUUUUCUACUCAGGCUCACAGUUACUGUACUGUGGAAUUAGGCGUGCUUCCCUUGUUUCUAGGUGGUGCAAAAUCUGCUCGACUGCUUUCCCUGUCUUCUGAAAUUGGAUUUUAUUUUUAAAUUGCUGUGCUAGGAUGGUAUGACACAAUACUGCAUUUCUGAUCUAAGCAUGAAGUUGAACACCAGAAGAGGAAACACGGCGAAAGAUGGGUGCAGUUACGUAGGACAUACUGCCUGGUUUGCAGGCAUGUGGCUUGCUUUCAGCAUUGGAGAAUCGGGUGCAGGGAAGACUGAAUGCAAAGCGUGUCAUCCAGCAGCAAUCACAGCAAGAGGAGACCUGGCCAAGAAGAAGGAAUCCUGGAUGAAAGUACGAAGCUGAAAAGCAUUGCAGGGGGACACUUAACAGCCUGUGGCUUUGGACAGUAUCAGUGACAGACAUUGGCCUCAAAAUAUGAAGUGCCCUCUAUUAGCUUCAGCCACUCUUAAAAAGCAGUAAGGGCAGGGGCUGAUUGGCUGUGAGAGACACAGCAAAUACAAACCACCAGAGCUGCCAGCAUCGCUGCCCAGCAGCCUCUCCUCAAAUGCAGAUAGAUCUGGGGGAUAUUGUCUGAGCAGAGGCUCCAAUUUCUCAACGUGAGCUGAGAACAAUGAGGAUGAGUGAAAACAGGAAUAAAAGGAAUUAUUUACCAU